rnacentral:misc_RNA from 1 species
GAUGAAGAACGUAGCGAAAUGCGAUAAGUAAUGUGAAUUGCAGAAUUCAGUGAAUCAUCGAAUCUUUGAACGCACAUUGCGCCCAUUAGUAUUCUAGUGGGCAUGCCUGUUCGAGCGUCAUUAAGUCCACUUAAGCCCUGCUUAGUGUUGGGAGACUGCUCCAGCGGUGCUACCCUGUAGCUACCCUGCAGCUCCUCAAAGACAGCGGCGGAGUUGUGGUAUCCUCUGAGCUUAGUAACUUGUUCUAGCUUUCGAGUACACCACUUCCCCUGCCGUAAAACCCUUAAUUUUUAAUGGUUGACCUCGGAUCAGGUAGGACUACCCGCUGAACUUAAGCAUAUCAAUAAGCGGAGGA